AAUUCACUCCAAUAGCAUAUAUUAAAGUAGUUGCGGUUAAAACGCCCGUAGUUUGAUCAGCGGAUUUGGAGAACGGUCUGCCGAUGGGCUGUACUGUUCUCCUGUCCUAUUUUCUCUAGUUCGCUCUAGGUGCUCUUCACUGAGUGUCUAGAGUGGCUGGAACUUUUACUUUGAAAAAAUUAGAGUGCUCAAAGCAGGCGUCUCAGUCUGAAUAGUGGUGCAUGGAAUAAUGGAAUAGGACCUCAGUUCUAUUUUGUUGGUUUUCGGAACAUGAGGUAAUGAUUAAGAGGGACAGACGGGGGCAUUCGUAUUGCGACGUUAGAGGUGAAAUUCUUGGAUCGUCGCAAGACGAAACUACUGCGAAAGCAUUUGCCAAGAAUGUUUUCAUUAAUCAAGGACGAUAGUUAGAGGUUCGAAGGCGAUCAGAUACCGCCCUAGUUCUAACCGUAAACGAUGUCAACCAGCGAUCCGCAGGGAGUUAUUCAUGACUCUGCGGGCAGCUUCCGGGAAACCAAAGUUUUUGGAUUCCGGGGGGAGUAUGGUUGCAAAGCUGAAACUUAAAGGAAUUGACGGAAGGGCACCACCAGGAGUGGAGCUUGCGGCUUAAUUUGACUCAACGCGGGGAAACUCACCCGGCCCGGACACCGUAAGGAUUGACAGAUUGAGAGCUCUUUCUUGAUUCGGUGGGUGGUGGUGCAUGGCCGUUCUUAGUUGGUGGAGCGAUUUGUCUGGUUAAUUCCGAUAACGAACGAGACUCUAGCCUACUAAAUAGAAGGCAAAUUAUUCGUUUGCUGUACUUCUUAGAGGGACUAUGGGGCGUCUAGCCUCACGAGAUUGA
rnacentral:rRNA from 1 species